UCAAACAUGUCCAAGAGUUGGACAUUAAAAUCAAAUUUGAUAUGAUUUUUCAUCUCCUACUUGAUCCAUGAGAUAGACACAUAAAUUCUCCCAAUGAUGUCCAAGAGUUGGACAUGAUUAAAAUUAGAUUUGAUCUGAUUUUAGCCUCUUCCUCUCUUCUAAAGAUGUCCAAGAGUUGGACAUGAUUAAAUUAAAUUUGAUCUGAUUUCUUGAUCCAUGAGAUGGACGGUUCUCCUCUACCUUUCUUAGAUUUAGUCUAAGGGUUGGAUAAGAAAGGAAGAAAGAGAUUAGACCUUAUAUCUUCUUUCAUAGAUCUUCAUAUUUUUUCUUGAGAAGAGA
rnacentral:lncRNA from 1 species